CAGCACGGGGUAGCAAUACUCUGGUGGCGACCGGCGCACGGGUGAGUAACGCGUAUGCAACCUGCCCUGUACAGGGGGAUAGCCCGGAGAAAUUCGGAUUAAUACCCCAUAAAGAUAUCUGGAGGCAUCUUUUGAUAUUUAAAGUUUCGGCGGUACGGGAUGGGCAUGCGUAACAUUAGCUAGUUGGUAGGGUAACGGCCUACCAAGGCGACGAUGUUUAGGGGUCCUGAGAGGGUGAUCCCCCACACUGGUACUGAGACACGGACCAGACUCCUACGGGAGGCAGCAGUGAGGAAUAUUGGUCAAUGGGCGCAAGCCUGAACCAGCCAUCCCGCGUGCAGGAAGAAGGCGCUAUGCGUCGUAAACUGCUUUUCCAGAGGAAGAAAACCCCUGACGUGUCGGGGCUUGCCGGUACUCUGGGAAUAAGCAUCGGCUAACUCCGUGCCAGCAGCCGCGGUAAUACGGAGGAUGCGAGCGUUAUCCGGAUUUAUUGGGUUUAAAGGGUGCGUAGGCGGAUUAAUAAGUCAGUGGUGAAAACCUUCAGCUUAACUGGAGACUUGCCAUUGAUACUGUUAGUCUUGAGUACGGUCAAGGUAGGCGGAAUGUGUAAUGUAGCGGUGAAAUGCUUAGAUAUUACACAGAACACCGAUUACGAAGGCAGCUUACUGGGCCAUUACUGACGCUGAGGCACGAAAGCGUGGGGAGCGAACAGGAUUAGAUACCCUGGUAGUCCACGCCGUAAACGAUGAUCACUCGCUGUUGGCGAUACAUAGUCAG
rnacentral:rRNA from 1 species